rnacentral:rRNA from 1 species
UACGUAGGGUGCGAGCGUUGUCCGGAUUUACUGGGCGUAAAGGGCGCGUAGGCGGCCAGCACAAGUCAGUUGUGAAAUCUCCGAGCUUAACUCGGAAAGGUCAACUGAUACUGUGCGGCUAGAGUGCAGAAGGGGCAACUGGAAUUCUUGGUGUAGCGGUGAAAUGCGUAGAUAUCAAGAGGAACACCUGCGGCGAAGGCGGGUUGCUGGGCUGACACUGACGCUGAAGCGCGAAAGCCAGGGGAGCGAACGGG